rnacentral:ncRNA from 1 species
GUUCUUAGUUGGUGGAGCGAUUUGUCUGGUUAAUUCCGUUAACGAACGAGACCUCAGCCUGCUAACUAGCUACAUGGAGGUGAUCCUUCAUGGCUAGCUUUUUAGAGGGACUAUGUCCUUUUAGGCCACGGAAGUUUGAGGCAAUAACAGGUCUGUGAUGCCCUUAGAUGUUCUGGGCCACACGCACGCUACACUGAUGUAUUCAAUGAGUCUAUACCCUUGGUCGACAGGCCCGGGUAAUCUUUGAAAUUUUAUCGUGAUGGAGAUAGAUCAUUGCAAUUGUUGGUAUUCAACGAGGAAUUCCUAGUAAGCGUGAGUCAGCAGCUCGCGUUGACUACGUCCCUGCCCUUUGUACACACCGCCCGUCGCUCCUAUCGAUUGAUUGGUUCGGUGAAGUGUUCAGAUCGCGGCGAGUGAGCAGUUCGCUACCAGCGACGUCGCGAGAAGUCCACUGAACCUUAUCAUUUAGAGGAAGGAGAAGUCGUAACAAGGUUUCCUUAGGUGAACCUGCGGAAGGAUCAUUG